rnacentral:lncRNA from 1 species
AGGGCAGGGGGGCCAGGCUGGCACACGUCGCCAUUGGGACAGGGCUGUCUUCUCGCCCCACCCUGCCUUAGCUUCAUUCGAAAUGGAUGAAGGGGCGGGAAGGACAGGCGAGGUGGCCCCGGGAUUUCUUUGGCAGGUGUGUCUUCGGGAAGGAACUUUGCCUGAGAGGAUGAGUCAUUCCCUGGUGGUUCAUUGUGGGGAUUUUCCAUGGAAAUCCGUGUGUACGUUGUAUUCGCUUGCCUUAAUGCAUUCCCGGUUUUAUUUUUCAGUCUCUGCUUUCUAUCCGUCAAGAUGAUAAAGUCGUGUGCCCGAGAACCAAAGAAGUCUUCCACUUCUCACAAGCCGAGAAGGUGUACAUCAUGUAGGCCCCACGUCGUGAAGCGCACGCCUCGGGGACGGGCUGCAGCGGGCGGGGAGGCCACGCCUUCCUCCUGUCCCACGCUCCAGCCUGCCGCGGCGUUUCUGUCUCUUGCGACCAAAGAUCCGUGAGCAACGAUAAAUACUCUUAGGAAGAGAGAAAAUAAGGUUUCAUAAGUUUGUACUUGAAAACAUUUGGAUUGGUAGGAUUUUGUAACACGUCAACCAUUUGAUGCUUCUGAAAAGUACUUUCAACUUGCGAAGGAAACUUCUUUAAAGACUGACCUAAACACCGAGGGAAACUUUAGAACGUUUAAAAUAUAGGAGUGCGUGAUUUCCCUGUGUUUUCAGUUUCUUUCCUUCUGUGAACGAUGAGACUUGGAGAACGGGCUGGUCCUUCACCACUUCCUGUUGGCCCUGGCCCGGCCGGGGAAGGUGGCAGCGGCACUGGACUGACCUGCAGUGACCCGCGAUGCCGCGCCACGAGGGACACUUAUGGCUUCAUUCGAGAGCUGCUGCCAAAACGCCUGGCGCCGCCACCGUCAGGGGCUGGCUUCGAGGACGCCCGCCUGCCUCGCGGGCCGUGUCUGCGGGACUGUGUUCGUACGUGCAUAGUUUCGAUAUCACAUCGCGGGGCUGUGUUCGUAGCUGCGUCGUUUCGAUAUCACACCCUCUGUGUGCCGCCUUACUUCCUGCUUCGAGAAUGUAUAACGUGGAAAUCCACGGGACCAAGUUUCUGCAGAGGCCUUGCCGGAUGGUUCCAUAACUGUAGAGUCUAAUUGCUAUCCAUUACAGAAAUUAAUCGUUCAGUUGAAAGAAGUACUGAUGACUUUUCAAAACAAAUGAACCACCGUAGCUGACAGAGAACCGUAUCGUAGAGGUUUGUAGUUAGUGCUUAUUUUUGCAUGUUGAUGUUGACUAGCUAAUAAACUGUAAAUGUAAACCAUGCGAAUAAAAUGGUUUUCUAUUUCUCAUU